GGUUUAAUUCGAUGAUACGCGAGGAACCUUACCAGGGCUCGAACGCACGACGACAGGGGCGGAAACGUCCUCUUCUUCGGACGGCGUGCGAGGUGCUGCAUGGCUGUCGUCAGCUCGUGCCGUGAGGUGUCGGGUUAAGUCCCAUAACGAGCGCAACCCCCAUCUCUAGUUGCCAGCGGGUAAUGCCGGGGGACUCUAGAGAAACUGCCCGUGUAAACGGUGAA
rnacentral:rRNA from 1 species